AAUUAGAUUUUUAUGUUAAUUAAAAAGGUACGCACACAUUGGAGCACACAUUUUCCCGGGCUACCAAAACACACACACAGGCGUUUUCCGAACUCGACUAAGUUUGGGCAAAUCAAUUGGUUGGAAAUGAUCUUAAUUCGCUUAAGAAAAUUCACCAGGCAGCAGACAAAUCGAUGAUUGAGUGAGUGAUGCACUGAAGAUUGAGUCAUUGACUGAAUCUCAAGAGCAAGUCAUCGACUGGUGACUGCUGACUGGCGACAGGUGAAAAGCGAAAGUGCCCCAUGUGGCAGGGAAAUCAGGGGGAGUUGUGGGAGCCUCGCAGAUAAGAGGGAUGCAGACUGGGGCUUGAUGCUGAAGCCGAAAGCUGAAAACUGUAAGCUGAGGUGCUGCCUCGCGCAUUUUUCGAUUUUGCAUUGCAUACUUUUUGGCUGAACGCGUCGCUGCCUGGCAUCGUUGAAUGUGCUGGUGAAGAAGGGGACGGACGCAAAGAGCUGGGCCCCAAAAAUCCUUGCCCCACUCGAAUGCGAAUGCUACGCAUGAAAGCGUUGCAAGUCAGCAACGCGAACGAAGAGAAAUGGCCAAAACGACCAAAGCACAACGAAAAUGCCAAGCAGCGGCGAACAGAAAUAAUAAAAAAUUCGGAGUAAGGGAGCCAGCCAAGAGAUAGCAAUGCACAGGGAGAAAACUAUUGGUAAUUGCAUUAGUUAAUUUAUAAAUUGUAUCCUUGUGAAGAAAAUAGAUCAGCAACCGAAUUAAAAACUUUGUAUACCUUAGUUGCUUUAUUUUGUGGCUUAAUACCAACUAGAAUUUCUCCAAGUGCAACACUGGAGUGCGGAAAGCAAGAACGGAACUGCAAGGGAAAGCGGGAGACGGGAACGUGGAGCCCGAAAAGGACAGGCACAGGGACAGCGAAAGAGACAGCAAGACAGCAGCUUACAAGCGCAUUUCGAUUAUUGUUGAUGUAAUCAUAAUUUUUCAUUUCC